CAGCCUUGACUCUCUAAGAAGACAAGAAAAAACUACCAGAAAAAAAUCCUUGAAGGGAAAAAAAUAGAAGAAACCUUGGGAAAGGCAAUUCAAAGAGAGACCCCUUUUGAGGUUUGUGUGGAGCUGGUGUAGCACAGUAAGAAAACAUGAUCAGGAAAUGGAAUUAGACGCAAGACUGUUGAGACAGGUUAUGUGGUCUCAAGUAAAAUGAAGAUACAAUGAGAGAAAGAUAGAAAAGUCUUUUGUAGUUUUUAAAUAAUAAAAGUGCCCAUCAGCUGUGUUGCACCAGAGCAAAAUAAUGUCACCAACAAGU